rfam:Peniophora sp. CONT PENSPscaffold_101_Cont165, whole genome shotgun sequence.
GGCCGCCUGGCGAAAUGGCAUCGCGUCUGACUACGAUCGUGUAAUCAGGAGAUUGCAGGUUCGACCCCUGCGGUGGUCA